GACGAACCGUACGAACGUUAUUCGGAAUCACUGGGCUUAAAGGGUGCGUAGGCGGCGCUGAAAGUUGGGUGUGAAAUCCCUCGGCUCAACCGAGGAACUGCAUUCAAAACUACAGUGCUUGAGGGAGACAGAGGUGAGCGGAACUUAGGGUGGAGCGGUGAAAUGCGUUGAUAUCCUAAGGAACACCCGUGGCGAAAGCGGCUCACUGGGUCUCUUCUGACGCUGAGGCGCGAAAGCUAGGGGAGCAAACGGG
rnacentral:rRNA from 1 species